ACAAGGAAGAUGAGGGGGAGAAAUUAUCCUACCAUUAAAGAGGUAGUACUGACGCAUUUAUGGAGAUGGGACAUGAGGGCCUUGUCUGCAUGCUCAAGAGAAGAUUCCACAGAGUUCAAGCUGAGCAGGCUGCAGCAGGUUUGGAGGAAUCCUCCUCUGAAGAGGAAACAUGGCGAAGUACUUCUCCACUGAUGAAGAAAUUUAUUCUCAAGAGAAGCUGCCUCAGCUCCACGGUCCCUCCUGCAGCUUCCACUCCUGAUGCUAACCCCCUGUUUACAUCACACCAUCCGGGCAGACCUGGAGUCACAGAACUUUGUCCAGAGCUGCCGUCUGAGAAUUGUUGAUCAUAUAAUUUCCAGCAGAUGCCUUAAUGUAAUG